UGGACCAAUGAUGACCAAUCUUGGGUUAUGAGUCAGGGAUGAUGAAUACUAGAUAACUGUCAGGAUUCUGAGGUCCAA